GAUGAACGCUAGCGGGAGGCUUAAUACAUGCAAGUCGAGGGGUAACAGGGGCUUCGGCCCGCUGACGACCGGCGCACGGGUGAGUAACGCGUACGCAACUUACCUCCAAGCGAGGGAUAGCCCUGGGAAACUGGGAUUAAUACCUCAUGUGAUUAUGAUGCCGCAUGGUGUUAUAAUUAAAGUUCAGGCGCUUGGAGAUGGGCGUGCGUCCUAUUAGCUAGUUGGUGAGGUAACGGCUCACCAAGGCGACGAUAGGUAGGGGGCGUGAGAGCGUGGCCCCCCACACGGGUACUGAGACACGGACCCGACUCCUACGGGAGGCAGCAGUAAGGAAUAUUGGACAAUGGGCGCAAGCCUGAUCCAGCCAUCCCGCGUGCAGGAUGACAGCCCUACGGGUUGUAAACUGCUUUUGUACGGGAAGAAACACCCCCUCGUGAGGGGGCUUGACGGUACCGUAAGAAUAAGGAUCGGCUAACUCCGUG
rnacentral:rRNA from 1 species